CCCCCAGCCCCAUCUGCACGCGCCGUGAGCGCCUCCGCUGGAGCAGGCUCAGCAGGGGCUGCUGGCAAGGGAGUGCAGCUAAGUCCCCUGCUAUUUCUGCAAGGGAUGAUAUGGAAAGUUGGAUGGGGCGGGGGAAUAAGCAGUGCAUUUUUAAAACGCGCUAUUAAAACAUACCAGCAUGGAUCCCACAUACCCACUUACAUCUCACCGUGCAAAGAGGUUUGCUGCAGCCGGAAGUUGUACCCGUCAGCACCUGCUGAGGGCUUCGUUGACCAAACUGACAGAUGGCUUUUGGAGAAUUUGGCAGUCUUGUUCUUAUUGGAUUAUGGGGCACCACUUUCAGAUAAAAACAUGGACCUGAUUGGCAUCAUCCAGUAUCCAUAGAAACCCUGGAGGGUGCAUUCCAUUUCUCCAGCAAAAAAAUGAAGAGGAAGCUACAGUUUCCCACACUUAUAAUGCAGGUGAAACCCAAAUAGGAGGAGAUGGGGCCCUAUGUAAUGUACAAAAAAGGAGCUCCAUAAGAUUGGCAUUAUCCUGUAGUAGUGUCACAGCCUGCAGUCGUUUAAUGCCACUUCUUCUGAGGCCAGGAUUCCACGCCCAAGUGCAUUUAGUAGAGCAGAUGAAAGGAGUGGAAAACCUGCUUCUUUAGCCAGAAUUUUGUCAGAGGAAAAGGGGCUGAGCUAACACAGCAACAUCCUCCAUCCCUAUGACCCUGUGUAUGAUGUCAAUGUAUGAUGAGCCUAUGGGGCUCAGCAGUUUCACUGUCAUGGCUGGGUGUGAAAGGAGAGAGAGCAAGCCAAUUUCCACAGCAUCAUCUCCUAACAAACCCACAGGGAUUUUCUUAUAAACCUUCUCUCUGUCUGCGCCCUGCUGCAUCUGUUGGGCUAGGAAGGAAUGUUUCAUCAGUCUGCCACAAGGACAGUAUUCAUGGUUGUCUGGGGUAGGACAUUCUUAGUGGCAGUCUUUCACCUCUGGAGAUCAGCCUUGCUGGAAAUACAUCCAUGCCUGAACCUAGCCAUAUUUAGGGCAGGAGGCAAGAACAUCACUUCAUUCAGGCUACUAGCUAAUAGCAGGUUCUGGAAUGCUCUGAUACUGAAUCCCUUGACAUUAAGUCUAUUGGAUGCUAUCAACUCUCUCUGGUCCUCUAAAGGAAGUUGAGCCAGCGGCUGCACAUAGUCAUGGAGCAUAUGUUCUCCCCACUCAUGCAAAGUUGUUUGGUACUUUCUUAAUCUAUGUAAAGUGAGCUUCAACACAAAAGGGUUAGCUGCAUUAUAAAUGCCUGAAAUAUUAAUAAUAAUGUGUGUGCUUUUUUAUGAGUUAAUAGAUGUGUGGGUAAUAGGUAUUAUAAGGAUUAUUGUAGAACACUACGCUAUACUUAACCAUCUGACUGUGAUCUCUGAAAGAGAGAUUGCAUACAUACGGUAUUUAACUCAUUUUUUGUUCUAGAACUAGCAGAUAGUAGCAAACACUUAUUUAUGGUUUUGGAUGUGUUUUGCUGUUUAGGAUAAGCAUUCUGUAAAAUGUGAUUGUUUUGCUUUGCUGUGAUUAUUGUUUUUGUUUUGAUCCUGAUGAGCUGGACCAAAGCUUCACUUUGAGGUUAGUUAAAACCUGCCCCAAAACUUGGUGGAACUCAGUAAAAUUUCUUGUGUGCCCUGGAAGACUCUAUGAACUGCUAGGGAACUGGUAGGAUUACUAUAUCACAUAUUCCAAAGAAAUAAAAUCUGAUUCAGAUGGGACGGGAUUUGUGUUUGGACUGCUUAAAAUGCGUGAUUGUUAGUUAUUUUUUGCUAGCAUUAGCACCCUACAAACCCAUGUGAAAACAGUGUCUUUUUUAGAGAUUUCAAGACCCUUACCCUUCAAUGAAGAUCUGAAAGAGCUCUUAGCCCACAUGUCUGAAACCUCCAAUAAGUUCUCUAGCAACAUUAGGGAAAACCAGACAUGACAUUCCCAAUAUGUGUAAGAUAAAUAAAUAAACAAACAAACAGAAGAACCCAUUGCCCCUCACUAUUUUUUUUUAACUUAGAAAACGCCUUUCAGGGGAUCUGUAUACAUCAUAAAUCUAUUAUUUCCUUUGCAGGUAACUUUUAAGAGUAAUAAAUAUAUUUACUGUCUUAACACUUGAUGCGUACCCCACAGAAGUCUAUGGAAGGACUUCCAUUGACUGCACUGGGUUUUGGUUAGUAAGAAUCCUGUGCAGAGAGGAUAUAUUACAGCUCCAUAGUGAAACCUAUCCCUUAGCUUUAAUAGAAGCUUUAUAAGCAUGCAGUAUUGUGUUUUAUUAGCAUGUUCUAAUGUAUUCUAUUGAUCACAGUGCAAAUUAAAAUGCCUAUUGUUAAGAUAAAUAUUCAUAUAGAUAUGCAAUGAUAAAGACCUGAUUAAAAAAAAGCAACACCAACAAACCUUGUGUACAUUUUACAUAUAAGGGUACAUUUCAUUUAAAUUAGAUAAAUCUGUGACACAGGGCUGAUUACACUGGU